AUUGAUCGAUGGCGGCAGGUCUAAAACAUGCACGUCGAGCGGAGCGGCGGACGGGUGAUUAAUGCCUCGGAAUCUGCCUGGUUGUGGGUGAUCACGUCCGGAAAUGGGCGCUAAUACCGCAUCCUCUCAGUUGAGCCUAGGUCGGAUUAGCUAGUUGGUGGGGUAAAGGCCUACCAAGGCGACGAUCCGUAACUGGUCUGAGAGGAUGAUCAGUCACACUGGAACUGAGACACGGUCCAGACUCCUACGGGAGGCAGCAGUGGGGAAUAUUGGACAAUGGGCGAAAGCCUGAUCCAGCCAUGCCGCGUGUGUGAAGAAGGUCUGCGGAUUGUAAAGCACUUUAAGUUGGGAGGCGUUACCAACAGAAUAAGCACCGGCUAACUUCGUUCCAGCAGCCGCGGUAAUAC
rnacentral:rRNA from 1 species